CAGACUGAUUGUUGUAAUGAUGAUUAUGUGUGAUCAACGAGAGGUAUCUGUUCUGCAUUCUACAGGAAAUUCAGGAUUUGUUGCCAAACUUCAGCUUGCAAAGCAGACCCAUGGGGUUACAGUCUUGCAAGCCUUGCAACUCCUGCUUGCAAAGUAAGGAGGAAUGCAGACCGGCUGGUGGCUGCUCGUGUAUGUGUGAAGACUGGACAUAUUGCUCUGAACACUGCUGUGACAUCUGCUGCCAGAUAUGUGUAGACGUGUGCUCUGGCUUGUGUUCAGGAGACUGCAGCUACACCUUCUGUACCCUCUGCCUCAGCCUGGCACAGAACUGUAUCUCAUUUUUUACCACCCAACAAACGGAAACAUCAGAGGCACAACAUAUUGAAGAGAGUCUGACUGCAUCCUUCCACAGUGGCUGUGAAGCCAAGCUAUCUGCUGCUGUCUAAUGAGGACGGAGAUGAGAUGUGAAAGGAGCUUUCUGCAGAGCGCCAAUGUGGAUUUAAAAAUGGCCCUUACCUAAGCUUAAGGUUAUCCCCACCAUCAUGGCUGAACAAAAGCUCUGUGAAUAAAACAAGCAUUCCUGGCUCACACCCAUGUGAGAAAGAGAGAGACAGUUCCCUUCUUAACACGCAAGACACCAUCUUUCCAGUCUCAUCAUUUCAUGUGGAUGGAUUUAUUUCUUGUCUAUCUGGA